rnacentral:rRNA from 1 species
CUCUUCGGGGAUGAUUAAACCGGCGCACGGGUGAGUAACACGUGAGUGACCUGCCUUUUAGACUGGAACAACUUACCGAAAGGUGAGCUAAUGCCGGAUGAGUUAUAUAAGUGCAUGUUUAUAUAGGAAAAGUUGGGGAGACCUGACGCUGAAAGAUGGACUCGCGUCCCAUUAGCUAGUUGGUAGGGUAAUGGCCUACCAAGGCGACGAUGGGUAGCCGGCCUGAGAGGGUGGCCGGCCACACUGGGACUGAGACACGGCCCAGACUCCUACGGGAGGCAGCAGUGGGGAAUUUUGCGCAAUGCUCGUAAGAGUGACGCAGCGACGCCGCGUGAAUGACGAAGGCCUUCGGGUCGUAAAGUUCUUUCGACAGGGAAGAAAAUGCCUAUAAGUAACUGUGUAUGUAUUGACGGUACCUGUAUAAGCAGCCCCGGCUAACUCCGUGCCAGCAGCCGCGGUAAUACGGAGGGGGCGAGCGUUGUUCGGAGUGACUGGGCGUAAAGAGCACGUAGGCGGUGUUGUAAGUCAUUAGUCAAAGACUAGAGCUCAACUUUAGUAAGGCUAGUGAUACUAUAAUACUAGAGUAUCAGAGAGGAUUGCAGAAUUCCUGGUGUAGCGGUGAAAUGCGUAGAUAUCAGGAGGAAUACCGUUAGCGAAGGCGGCAAUCUGGCUGGAAACUGACGCUGAGGUGCGAAAGCGUGGGUAGCAAACAGGAUUAGAUACCCUGGUAGUCCACGCUGUAAACGAUGGAUGCUAGGUGUUGGGCUUUUAAGUUCAG